AUUCCUACGGGAGGCAGCAGUGGGGAAUCUUGCGCAAUGGGCGAAAGCCUGACGCAGCAACGCCGCGUGCGGGAUGAAGGCCCUCGGGUUGUAAACCGCUUUUACCAGGAAGGAAACUGACAGUACCUGGAGAAUAAGGUGCGGCCAACUACGUGCCAGCAGCCGCGGUGACACGUAGGCACCAAGCGUUGUCCGGAUUUAUUGGGCGUAAAGAGCUCGUAGGCGGUUCAGUAAGUCGGGUGUGAAAACUCUGGGCUUAACCCAGAGACGCCACCCGAUACUGCUGUGACUUGAGUCCGGUAGGGGAGUGGGGAAUUCCUGGUGUAGCGGUGAAAUGCGCAGAUAUCAGGAGGAACACCAAUGGCGAAGGCACCACUCUGGGCCGAGACUGACGCUGAGGAGCGAAAGCGUGGGUAGCAAACAGGAUUAGAUACCCUGGUAGUCCACGCCGUAAACGGUGGGCACUAGGUGUGGGUUCCAACCAACGGGAUCCGCGCCGUCGCUAACGCAUUAAGUGCCCCACCUGGGGAGUACGGCCGCAAGGUUAAAACUCAAAGGAAUUGACGGAAU
rnacentral:rRNA from 1 species